rnacentral:tRNA from 2 species
GGCCGAGUGGCGGAAUGGCAGACGCAGUGGACUCAAAAUCCACCGAUCGCAAGAUCAUGUGGGUUCGACUCCCUCCUCGGCCACCA